AUCACGAGAGGAGAGUAAUAUAAGUCGCCCUGCAGCUAACUGGGAGCGGGCGAUGAUGCGGUUCUCGGAGCUGGAGCUGAAGGAGAAGGAGUGCGGGGGUGUGUGUGUGUCUGCGUCGGCAGCGGUAGCAGGACAGGAGUUGGCAGACCGCCAGCAGAGAGAAAGAGAGUGGGAACACUGCCAACACACCGCCAGGCAGGGAGAGAGGGAGGAUGCGUGCGUGCUGUGGGGCAGUGAGCAACCUACGGCUCCUACUACUAAUGAGGAUGAUGAUGAUGAAGAGGUGAGGAAGCUGAAGGUGUGUAUCGAGCUGAAGGGGCUCCGCCUCCGCAAGCCCACCUCUUCCUCCCCCGAGAGGCCAGAGGUCAA
ensembl:lncRNA